UACGUAGGUGGCAAGCGUUGUCCGGAAUUAUUGGGCGUGAAGCGCGCGCAGGCGGUUUCUUAAGUCUGAUGUGAAAGCCCCCGGCUCAACUGGGGGGGGGCCUUGGAAACUGGGGGACUUGAGUGCAGAAGAGGAGAGCGGAAUUCCACGUGUAGCGGUGAAAUGCGUAGAGAUGUGGAGGAACACCAGUGGCGAAGGCGGCUCUCUGGUCUGUAACUGACGCUGAGGCGCGAAAGCGUGGGGAGCAAACAGG
rnacentral:rRNA from 1 species